AGUGGCGAACGGGUGAGUAAUGUAUCGGAACGUCCCUUUCAGUGGGGGAUAACGUAGCGAAAGUUACGCUAAUCCCGCAUAUUCUGUGAGCAGGAAAGCAGGGGAUCGCAAGACCUUGCGCUGAUUGACCGGCCGAUAUCAGAUUAGCUAGUUGGUGAGGUAAAGGCUCACCAAGGCGACGAUCUGUAGCGGGUCUCACAGGAUGAUCCGCCAACCUGGAACUGAGCCCCGGUCCAGACUCCUACGGGAGGCAGCAGUGGGGAAUUUUGGACAAUGAGGGCAACCCUGAUCCAGCCAUGCCGCGUGAGUGAAGAAGGCCUUCGGGUUGUAAAGCUCCUUUCGUCCCGGGAAGAAAUCGCAUCAGCUAAUACCUGGUGUGGAUGACGGUUGGGGCUAGAGUU
rnacentral:rRNA from 1 species